rnacentral:lncRNA from 1 species
AAAAACUCGACGCUUAUCGACACCAACGGAGAGGUGACUCUUAUUGGGGAUAAUCAAACUAGACGUCCACGGACGAAUAGAAAAAACUCAUCGUUUAUCGACACCAACGGAGAGGUGACCUCCGGGGAGGGUUAAGGGUAUUACAAACAUCGAAAGCUGAUGUUUACCGACAUCAAAAGAAGACCAGACAUCAACGGAUGACUGUGCGAGACUCGAUGUUUACCGACACCGAAAGAAUGGUGUUGACCGACACCAAAGAAAGAACACACGCGGGUGCUGAC